AUUGAACGCUGGCGGCGUGUCUAACACAUGCAAGUCGAGCGGUAACAGGUGUAGCAAUACAUGCUGACGAGCGGCGAACGGGUGAGUAAUGCUUCGGAAUCUACCCAAUGGUGGGGAAUAACCAGCCGAAAGGUUGGCUAAUACCGCAUACGUCCCACGGGAGAAAGCAGGGGAUCGCAAGACCUUGCGCCAAUGGAUGAGCCGAAGUCGGAUUAGCUAGUUGGAGGGUAACGGCCUACCAAGGCGACGAUCCGUAGCUGGUCUGAGAGGACGACCAGCCACACUGGGACUGAGACACGGCCCAGACUCCUACGGGAGGCAGCAGUGGGGAAUAUUGGACAAUGGGGGAAACCCUGAUCCAGCGACGCCGCGUGUGUGAAGAAGGCCUGCGGGGUUGUAAAGCAC
rnacentral:rRNA from 1 species